UGGGGAAUUUUGGACAAUGGGGGCAACCCUGAUCCAGCAAUGCCGCGUGCAGGAAGAAGGCCUUCGGGUUGUAAACUGCUUUUGUACGGAACGAAAAGGCUCUGGUUAAUACCUGGGGCACAUGACGGUACCGUAAGAAUAAGCACCUGCUAACUACGUGCCAGCAGCCGCGGUAAUACGUAGGGUGCAAGCGUUAAUCGGAAUUACUGGGCGUAAAGCGUGCGCAGGCGGUGCUGUAAGACAGGCGUGAAAUCCCCGGGCUUAACCUGGGAAUGGCGCUUGUGACUGCAGUGCUGGAGUGUGGCAGAGGGGGAUGGAAUUCCGCGUGUAGCAGUGAAAUGCGUAGAUAUGCGGAGGAACACCGAUGGCGAAGGCAAUCCCCUGGGCCUGCACUGACGC
rnacentral:rRNA from 1 species